AUACGAAGGGUGCGAGCGUUAAUCGGAAUUACUGGGCGUAAAGCGCGCGUAGGCGGUUGGAUAAGUCGGAUGUGAAAGCCCCGGGCUCAACCUGGGAAUUGCAUUCGAAACUGUCCGGCUAGAGUGUGGUAGAGGGAAGCGGAAUUCCACAUGUAGCGGUGAAAUGCGUAGAUAUGUGGAGGAACACCAGUGGCGAAGGCGGCUUCCUGGACCAAUACUGACGCUGAGGUGCGAAAGCGUGGGGAGCAAACAGGAUUAGAAACCCUAGUAGUCC
rnacentral:rRNA from 1 species